rnacentral:rRNA from 1 species
UGAGGAAUAUUGGUCAAUGGACGAGAGUCUGAACCAGCCAAGUAGCGUGAAGGAUGACUGCCCUAUGGGUUGUAAACUUCUUUUAUAUGGGAAUAAAACAGGGUAUGCAUACCCUCUUGUAUGUACCAUAUGAAUAAGGAUCGGCUAACUCCGUGCCAGCAGCCGCGGUAAUACGGAGGAUCCGAGCGUUGUCCGGAUUUAUUGGGUUUAAAGGGAGCGUAGAUGGGUUGUUAAGUCAGUUGUGAAAGUUUGCGGCUCAACCGUAAAAUUGCAAUUGAUACUGGCAGUCUUGAGUACAGUUGAGGUAGGCGGAAUUCGUGGUGUAGCGGUGAAAUGCUUAGAUAUCAAGAAGAACUCCGAUUGCGAAGGCAGCUUACUAAACUGCCACUGACAUCGAUGCUCGAAAGUGUGGGUAUCAAACAGG